AUUAGAAACUCUUGUUGGAGAAGAAUUAGACAUUUUUGAUUAUGUCUUGCGUUGUACUUUAGAUAUAAUAUGUGAUGCCACGCUGAAUACGCAACUAAAUUCGCUGACAAAUCCGGAUUGUAAAUUAGCUGAAUCAAUAAAAUGG